rnacentral:rRNA from 1 species
AGUCAAGUGCGAGCUGACGCAGCGACGCCGCGUGGGAGGGAGAGGCCUUCGGGUUGUAAGCCCUGUUCUUAGGGGACGACUGGGGAGGGUACCCUGCGAAAAGACCACGGGUAUAUCUGUGCCAGCACCCGCGGGAAUCUACGG